rnacentral:rRNA from 1 species
AUGGCCCAUGCUGUUGUUCUGUUGAAUUUUAAUGCGUUCCUUGAGAAAGCAAAGUUGAAAGAUGAUGGUAGCAAUUACACGAACUGGGUCCGUAACUUGAGGAUUAUCCUUAUUGCUGCACAGAAGAAUUACGUCCUGGAAGCACCGCUAAUUGCCAAACUUGCUGCAGGAGCAACACCAGAUGUUAUGAACGUCUGGCAGAGCAAAGCUGAUGACUACUCGAUAGUUCAGUGUGCCAUGCUUUACGGCUUAGAACCAGAACUUCUACGACGUUUUGAACGUCAUGAAGCAUAUGAGAUGUUCCAGGAGUUGAAGUUAAUAUUUCAAGCAAAUGCCCGGAUUGAGAGAUAUGAAGUCUCCAAUAAGUUCUACAGCUGCAAGAUGGAGGAGAAUAGUUCUGUCAGUGAACAUAUACUCAGAAUGUCUGGGUAUCAUAACCACUUGACUCAACUGGGAGUUAAUCUCCCUGUUGAUAGUGUCAUUGACAGAGUUCUUCAAUCACUGCUACCAAGCUAUAAAAGCUUCAUGAUGAACUAUAGCAUGCAAGGGAUGAAUAAAACAAUUCUCGAGCUCUUCGCAAUGCUAAAGGCUGCGGAGGUAGAAAUCAAGAAGGAGCAUCAAGUGUUGAUGGUAAACAAGACCACCAGUUUCAAGAAAAAGGGUAAAGGGAAGAAGAAAGAGAACUUCAAGAAGAACGGCAAACAAGUUGCUGCUCAAGUGAAGAAACCCAAGUCUGGACCUAAGCCUGAGACUGCGUGCUUCUACUGCAAACAGACUGGUCACUGGAAGCGGAACUGCCCCAAGUAUUUGGCGGAUAAAAAGGAUGGCAAGGUGAACAAAGGUAUAUGUGAUAUACAUGUAAUUGAUGUGUACCUUACUAAUUCUCGCAGUAGUGCCUGGGUAUUUGAUACUGGUUCUGUUGCUAAUAUUUGCAACACGAAACAGGGACUACGGAUUAAGCGAAGAUUGGCAAAGGACGAGGUGACGAUGCGCGUGGGAAAUGGUUCCAAAGUCGAUGUGAUCGCAGUCGGCAUGCUACCUCUACGUCUACCUUCGGGUUUAGUGUUAGACCUGAAUAAUUGUUAUUUGGUGCCAGUAUUAAGCAUGAAUAUUAUAUCUGGAACUUGUUUGAUGCGAGACGGUUAUUCAUUUAAAUCAGAGAAUAAUGGUUGUUCUAUGUAC